CCAAAUAAAUUUUCUAUUCGUAAAAUUGCAAAGAUAACUGGAGGCUGCUGUGUUGCUAAGUUAGGAGAAGCAUCUGUUAUGGCUACUGCUGUUUGUGACCCCAAAAAAUCUUCAGUGUCUUCUUUUGUUCCGCUUACAGUAGAUUUUCGUCAAAAAGCGACUGCAGCUGGUCAUAUACCAAUACCAAUGACUCAGAAGCGAAGAGAAUUUGGUGAAACUGACAAAGAAAUGCUAACUAGUAGAGUUAUUGACAGAUCUAUCCGGCCACUUUUCCCUUGAAGCGCAACAUUUGCAGCCUUAAGUCUUUCUGAUAUUCCUUGGAAUGGUCCAGUUGGAGCUGUUCAUGUAGGACUCAUAAAUGAUGAAAUUAUAAUUAAUCCUACGAGGCAAGAUUUAGAUAAAACCUCUCUAAAUCUUAUAAUUACGGCAACUCAAGAAAAUAAUGUUGUUAUGCUGGAAGGAUCGGCUAACCAUGUUAUUAUGAAACAGUUUAUGGAAGCUAUUAAAGCUGGAGUCAGUGAAGCUCAGUUAAUAACAAAGGGUAUUCUUAACCUUCAACAACAAUUUGGUAAAUGUAAAAAGCCUGUUGGCAAGCUAUCACUGGCAUCAUCAGAUAUGAUAGAAUCUGCAACUUUACUCUGUGAAGUAAAAUUUUUAGGGAUUUUACUUUAGACAAAAUGAGGAGAGGAAUGGCUGUUGAUGCUGUGAUACAAGAAACAUUAGAAAAAUUAAAAGAAAGCUAUACCAAGUGUAAUUCAAGUAUCUUAUAUCAAGCCAUAAAUUCUGUUUAUGAAAAUGCAUUUAGGAACCUUGUUUUAGAAACAAGCAUAAGGUGUGAUGGGAGAACAGCAACUGAUUUGCGACCCAUAUCGUGCGAAGUGGACACAUUUAAACCCUUACAUGGAAACGUUCUUUUUGAGAGGGGUCAAACACAAGUAAUCUCUUUAUGAAUGCUCUCUUUUUUUAAAAUCAGUGCAUCUUUUUACUGAAUAGGCAUGUUUUUACUGAAAUACAGAACUGCAUUUCAUUUGUUUGUCACCCUGAGUUCAUUCAAAUUUGCCUGUCACCAUGAAUAUAUUUAUGCGUCUUUAAAAUUAUAGCAGCCUGGUUUGAUACAGUUAUUUUUAAAUUAAAGCACUGCGAUUCAUAUUCACAUGAUUUAAAAAUCAAACAUUGCGAUUCCUAUUCAAAAGAGUUCAGAUGUUUCAUUUAAAAGUUUUUGAGAAUAGAAAUGGUUGUAAUAAAUGUAUUUAAAUUAAAUCUUUUGUUUGUUU